rnacentral:rRNA from 1 species
AAUGAACGCUGGCGGCAGGCCUAACACAUGCAAGUCGAACGGAUCCUUCGGGAUUAGUGGCGGACGGGUGAGUAACGCGUGGGAACAUACCCAAAGGUACGGAAUAGCCUCGGGAAACUGGGAGUAAUACCGUAUGUGCUCGAAAGAGGAAAGAUUUAUCGCCUUUGGAUUGGCCCGCGUUGGAUUAGGUAGUCGGUGGGGUAAUGGCCAACCAAGCCGACGAUCCAUAGCUGGUUUGAGAGGAUGAUCAGCCACACUGGGACUGAGACACGGCCCAGACUCCUACGGGAGGCAGCAGUGGGGAAUCUUAGACAAUGGGGGAAACCCUGAUCUAGCCAUGCCGCGUGAUCGAUGAAGGCCUUAGGGUUGUAAAGAUCUUUCAGGUGGGAAGAUAAUGACUGUACCACCAGAAGAAGCCCCGGCUAACUCCGUGCCAGCCGCCGCAGUAA